CGCUGAAGCUCGAAAGUGCGGGUAUCGAACAGGAUUAGAUACCCUGGUAGUCCGCACGAGUAAACGAUGGAUGCCCGCUUUUCGGUCAUUAGACCGUGAGGCCAAGUGAAAACAUUAAGCAUCCCACCUGGGGAGUACGCCGGGCAACGGUGAAACUCAAAGGAAUUGACGGGGGCCCGCACAAGCGGAGGAACAUGUGGUUUAAUUCGAUGAUACGCGAGGAACCUUUACCCGGGCUUGAAUUGCAGAUGAAGGAUACAGAGAUGUUGACGCCCUUCGGGGCAUCUGUGAAGGUGCUGCAUGGUUGUCGUCAGCUCGUGCCGUGAGGUGUCGGCUUAAGUGCCAUAACGAGCGCAACCCCUCUCUUCAGUUGCCAUCAGGUAAUGCUGGGCACUCUGGAGACACUGCCACCGCAAGAUGUGAGGAAGGUGGGGAUGACGUCAAAUCAGCACGGCCCUUACGUCCGGGGCUACACACGUGUUACAAUGGGGGGUACAGAAAGCCGGCUGCCCGCAAGGUCAGUCCAAUCAAGAAAGCCCCUCUCAGUUCGGACUGGAGUCUGCAACCCGACUCCACGAAGCUGGAUUCGCUAGUAGUCGCGCAUCAGCCAUGGCGCGGUGAAUACGUUCCCGGGCCUUGUACACACCGCCCGUCAAGCCAUGAAAGCCGGGGGCGCCUGAAGUCCGUUACCGCAAGGAUCGGUCUAGGGCGAAACUGGUAAUUGGGGCUAAGUCGUAACAAGGUA
rnacentral:rRNA from 1 species